rnacentral:lncRNA from 1 species
CGUUUUAGCAGAAGAACACAGUCUUGGAAAUUCGUGUUUUGCGCACGCCCUGAAGAAAUUACGCAUCUGCUAAAAUCGGUUUCCUAUUGAACAUACUUCUUUCCGUGAGAAAUAUUAUAGUUUGAUACAUUUAAGGGUAUCUGAGGAGUAAAUAGAAACGUAUUUUGACUUGUUGCAACAAAGUUUAGGGGUAGAUUUUCGGAUUCCUUUCUCUGCGUGUUGAACGAGUGGAUUACUCAAAUCGAUGGCGCCAACUAAACAGACUUUUUGGGAUAUAAAGAAGGAUUUUGUCUAACAAAACGACACUACAUGUUAUAGCUGGGACCUUUUGGAUGACAAAUUAGAGGAAGAUUUUCAAAAAAUCUCUUGAUCCAUCCUCUGGCUGCAUUUUAAGUACAUAGGUUCCACAAGGUAGGGGUGUACCCCCUGCUACUCCUCAGUAAGAGCAAGAAGGAAACGUUUUGUCGUCAACUGCAGUGUCCUCACAGUGGUAUGAUGAAUCAGACCUCAAUGGCAGCAAUCCAAAGGUUGUUGGUGGCAAUUGUGAAAGGUAUUUGGACAGAAAUAUGUAUGCAUGUCUUCCUUAAGACCCUAUCCUUCAACCACCACAUCCGUCAGACUGUAAAAAAAACAAAUGAUUCAACUUACGCAAAUUCGCCAAAGUCAGCCUCUCCUGUCCUGCUGGCCGAAACUCUCAUCCAUGCUUUCAUCUUCUCCCGAAUAGACUAUUUCAACUCACUACUCCCUGGCACUAACACAAACUCCCUCUAUAAGCUCAAUGGUUCAAAACUCAGCAGCCCAUCUUCUAACCCACACUAAAUCCUGGCAGAAUAUUACCCCCAUCCUCUGUGGGCUCACUUCAACCAGGUUGAACCCCCAAUAAUCCCUACCACCCAGGAGACCAGCUACACCCCCAUUCUCAACCAGGUUGAACCCCCGAUAUCCCCCACCGCCCAGGAGACCAGCUACACCCGGAUCCCCAACCAGGUUGAACCCCCGAAAACCCCCACCGCCCAGGAGACCAGCUACACCCAAACCGAACCAAAGAAGACGGGAAGAAAGUCCUGUCACCCUCAAAAAACCAUCUAACCCGCUGAGCAUGACAGUCAACCCCCAACCAAGGAAGUAGAAAUAUGACUACAUGCAAAAAGUGUCCAGUGCAUCCGGAGCAAAUGAUUUUCCCUAUUCUCAAAAUUCUUGCCAAUAGAACUUCAAAGGAGGGUCAGGAGCAGAAAGUGAAGUGGAAGCCGUGCUCUGGAUGUGACUUGCCCAAAAUGUUGCACUGGUCUGGCUCUUGAUGUACUGGCCCUUGGAGCUGAAGAAAUUAUGAAUAAAAAGGUUUUUAAUUCAAAA